rnacentral:rRNA from 1 species
ACCGCUCAGUAACACGUGGACAACCUACCCAAAGGUCUGGGAUAACUCCGGGAAACUGGGGAUAAUACCGGAUAGGUCAAGAGUACUGGAAGGGUUUUUUGAUUGAAAGCUCUGGCGCCUUUGGAUGGGUCUGCGGCUGAUUAGGUUGACGCCGGUGUAAAGUACCGGCGUGCCGAUUAUCAGUACGGGUUGUGGGAGCAAGAGCCCGGAGAUGGAUUCUGAGACACGAAUCCAGGCCCUACGGGGCGCAGCAGGCGCGAAAACUCUACAAUGCAGGCAACUGCGAUAGGGGAACAUCGAGUGGCAUCUACAUUAGGUGUCUGUCCAGCUGUCUAAAAAACGGCUGUUAGCAAGGGCCGGGCAAGACCGGUGCCAGCCGCCGCGGUAAUACCGGCGGCUCGAGUGGUGGCCGAUAUUAUUGAGUCUAAAGGGUCCGUAGCCGGCUUUGCAAGUCUUGUGGGAAAUCCAGCGGCUUAACCGUUGGGCGUCUGCGGGAUACUACAUUGCUUGGGACUGGGAGAGGUAGGAGGUACUCAGGGGGUAGGAGUGAAAUCCUGUAAUCCUCUGGGGACCACCGGUGGCGAAGGCGUCCUACCAGAACAGGUCCGACGGUGAGGGACGAAAGCUAGGGGCACGAACCGGAUUAGAUACCCGGGUAGUCCUAGCCGUAAACGAUGCCCGCUAGGUGUCACGGCAGUCGUGAACUGCCGUGGUGCCGUAGGGAAGCCGUGAAGCGGGCCACUUGGGAAGUACGACCGCAAGGUUGAAACUUAAAGGAAUUGGCGGGGGAGCAC